rnacentral:rRNA from 1 species
CCUACGGGAGACAGCAGUAGGGAAUAUUGCUCAAUGGGGGAAACCCUGAUGCAGCAACGCCGCGUGGAGGAUGAAGUUUUUCGGUUUGUAAACCCCUUUUGUUAGAGAAGAUAAUGACGGUAUCUAACGAAUAAGCACCGGCUAACUCCGUGCCAGCAGCCGCGGUAAUACGGAGGGUGCAAGUGUUACCCGGAUUUACUGGGCGUAAAGGGCGCGUAGGCGGGAUAGCAAGUCAGAUGUGAAAUCCUAUGGCUUAACCAUAGAACUGCUUUUGAAACUGUUAUGCUAGAGUAUAGGAGAGGUAGGUGGAAUUCUUGGUGUAGCGGUAAAAUCCGUAGAGAUCAAGAGGAACACUCAUUGCGAAGGCGACCUGCUAGAACAUAACUGACGCUGAGGCGCGAAAGCGUGGGGAGCAAACAGGAUUAGAUACCCCUGUAGUC